UUAGUGGGAGCUUCUUGUGAAGAGCUUUCCUGAUGCUGUAGUUUCAUGAUGUAAUGCUGAUGGAAGUGAACUUGAACAGCUUCACAUCGCAUAAUUAAUGACAUUCCAUUUCCAUGACAACGCCUAAUUAAUCAUGCCUGUUCCCAUGAACUUUUAGCUUGUGGGAGUCCUGGCUCACACGGGACAGUAAAUUAUGUUGGCUUGGCUUUUCGCAUUUUCUUUGAAACAGGGUCUCAUGUAGCCCAGGCUGACAUUCAAUGUGCUUCGUAGCUAAGGGUGAUAGUGAACGUCUUAUCCUUCUGCCUUUACCUCCAGGGUGCUGGAAUUAGAGGUGUGCACCAUCUCACUCAGUUUAUGCAGUGUUGGGGAUCAAACUCAGAGCUCCACGCCUGCUAGGCAAUCACUCUAUCUACGGAGCUACAUCCCAGCUCCAACCUAUAGUUUUUUGAAGGCAGAGAUAGGUGGGUGCUGCUUCUGAGGACCCCUGGACCGUAAGUCUGACACCAGGAUUUAUCGGUCCCCAAGUGAAGACAACCGUUUGGAAGGUUCAGCCUGUUCGAGUUCUGCAGAGGGACAUGGAGGAAGUGUGUCACAGAGGGCACAUCUGAUGGUAGGAAUCUCCCACACUCUGAGCACAUGGAAUCGGAGGCCACAGACCUGGGAUCUUCUCCAAUACUUCUCUCCCUUUUGAGAGCACCGGUAGGAAAAUGUCAACAACCACGGAGGGAACAUUUGAAGACAUCUAGAACAUUUGAAGAAGGGCCUCAUGGGCAGAGGUAGAGAGUCUUCGAAAAGGAGGAACACACGCAAAAGAAGGAGUUGAGCCUGGUCUGCCUGAGUAUCGGGGCAUAUGCUAAGCUGUCAUCCGAUCCUGGCUCCACAAGGACAAGAAAACAGGGUGC